rnacentral:tRNA from 1 species
GCCUCAGUGGCUUAGUUGGUUAAGUGUCAGACUCUUGAUCUCAGCUCAGGUCUUGAUCUUAUGGUCAUGGGUUCAAGCCCUAUGUUGGGCU